rnacentral:ncRNA from 1 species
ACUGGAAUGAUGGUAAAUGAUGCUGGGCAGAGUGAAGCCAGGGGGAACUCUGGCGGAGGUCUGUCGUGGUCCUGUGCAGAUCCCUCAUCUGGCCUGGGUGUAGGGGAGAAAGACUGAGCCACCCAUUAGCUAG